rnacentral:rRNA from 1 species
GUCCACGCCCUAAACGAUGUCAAUUAGCUGUUGGGUACAUGAUGCCUUAGUAGCGUAGCUAACGCGUGAAAUUGACCGCCUGGGGAGUACGGUCGCAAGAUUAAACUCAAAGGAAUUGACGGGGACCCGCACAAGCGGUGGAUGAUGUGGAUUAAUUCGAUGCAACGCGAAGAACCUUACCUGGUCUUGACAUGUACGGAAUCUCUUAGAGAUAGGAGAGUGCCUUCGGGAGCCGUAACACAGGUGCUGCAUGGCUGUCGU